rnacentral:rRNA from 1 species
GACGUAGGGCGCGAGCGUUGUCCGGAUUUAUUGGGCGUAAAGAGCUCGUAGGCGGCUUGUCGCGUCGACCGUGAAAACUUGGGGCUCAACCCCAAGCCUGCGGUCGAUACUGCCGGACUAGAGUUCGGAAGAGGCGAGUGGAAUUCCCGGUGUAGCGGUGAAAUGCGCAGAUAUCGGGAGGAACACCAAUGGCGAAGGCAGCUCGCUGGGACGUUACUGACGCUGAGACGCGAAAGCGUGGGGAGCAAACAGGG